rnacentral:rRNA from 1 species
UACGAAGGGGCGAGCGUUGUUCGGAAUCACUGGGCGUAAAGGGCGCGUAGGCGGCCCUCCUAGUCGCGUGUGAAAGCCCCGGGCUCAACCUGGGAACGGCGCGCGAAACGGGGGGCUGGAGUUCGGGAGAGGAGCGUGGAAUUCCCAGUGUAGAGGUGAAAUUCGUAGAUAUUGGGAAGAACACCGGUGGCGAAAGGCGGCGCUCUGGACCGAGACUGACGCUGAGGCGCGAAGCGUGGGGAGCAAACAGG